CUGCUACUUCCUGGCUGUGCUUCCCAAGAAAACUCACUUAACCUCUCGGGAGGAAAAUAAGGGGAAUGGGCUUCGUGACCUCUGGAAAUGCUGAGAUUCACAAAAUCUAUUUCUUUCGUCAUCUUUCCACUGUUGUCCAUCCAGAAUUCUUAGCCAAGAGAGUGGCCCAGAAUCCCCUGCAGACCUUGGAGGAGACAGACAUACUCAAGUCCACCCGGUGCCCCGGGUUCUGCUCUGUAUUUUAAAGAGCAACUCUGCAUACCUGUGAAUGUCAGCCCAGAGGAGGUGUGGACGCACUGGAAUGCCGGCGUGGUUGGAGAAGUGGGCUUGCACUGGCAAGAAGCCUAGGGGGGUGUCAUAUAACAACCCAGAGAACCCAACAAAAGAGUGUUUAGCAACCUUCUUUGUCAGAUGCAACCACAUAUGCAUAUGGAAAUUCUAAUGGUGACAAAAAAACAUGUAUCACAGAGAAUAAAUAUCUUGGCCAAAAAAACCUGAAAACAUUCGAAGGCUUUCAGCUAAUAACUGCCAGAUUUCCUGGAGAUUUGCUGUUAGCCCUUUUGUAUUAGUUAUCGCCUGUUUAGCAUUUAACAUAAUGUGAAUUAUUGUCACGACUGAAAAACAAUAACAAUUUUCUCUUCUUUUACUCUGGAGUGACAUCUGCAAAUGUCACAAGAGUCGGCCUUUGAAUGUCUAACAAUAGCACUGCGCAAGCAUGGGAUUCAAGGGCUCCCAGUGGUGAAAAUAAAGGUUAUUUCAGACGUGGUUUGGCAGGAUGUUGUCUUUUAGGAGAGGAAGGCGUAAAAAUAAAACUGUUAAUUCAAUUUAAUUUUAUUAAUAAAUAAAUAAUUCUGUCCUCAGAGCUUUUCUUGACUUUAGUAAAGUAACACAGAGUCUUGAUGCCAUCCAUAUAUUUUGCCUUAGUAACUGCCUUGUUUUUAUUUCAUCGGGUGAAAAAUAAAAAUAGAUAUCCCCACUCAAGGGAAGCGAAACUUUGGAUGGAACUGCUGAGUUGUCUACAUUCUCUCUCAGGAUUGCCCCCCUCCCCGCUGCCACCCAGCAAGGAGAGAAAGGAAAAACCAGUAAUAACGAACAGUCUGAAGUUCUACCUCGAAGAAUUCAGGGACAAGGGGGUUGAGUGAGCCUGCGUGGCAGAUGUCAGGGAUUUCAUUUUACUUUCCUAAU
rnacentral:lncRNA from 1 species